GACGAACCGUGCGAACGUUGUUCGGAUUCACUGGGCUUAAAGGGCGCGUAGGCGGACUCGCAAGUCUGUGGUGAAAGCCCCCAGCUCAACUGGGGAAGUGCCAUGGAUACUGCGGGUCUGGAGGAGGGUAGGGGCAUCUGGAACGCUGGGUGGAGCGGUGAAAUGCGUUGAUAUCCAGCGGAACUCCGGUGGCGAAGGCGAGGUGCUGGACCCUUUCUGACGCUGAGGCGCGAAAGCCAGGGGAGCAAACGGG
rnacentral:rRNA from 1 species